UACGGGGGGUGCGAGCGUUGUCCGGAAUCACUGGGCGUAAAGGGCGCGUAGGUGGCUUUGUAAGUUUGCGGUGAAAGCCCGGGGCUCAACCCCGGGUCUGCCGUGGAUACUGCAAGGCUUGAGUACUGUAGAGGCAGGUAGAAUAUCGGGUGUAGCGGUGGAAUGCGUAGAGAUCCGGUAGAAGACCGGUGGCGAAGGCGGCCUGCUGGGCAGUAACUGACACUGAGGCGCGACAGCGUGGGGAGCAAACAGG
rnacentral:rRNA from 1 species